rnacentral:rRNA from 1 species
UCUUCGGGGAUGAUUAACCGGCGCACGGGUGAGUAACACGUGAGUGACCUGCCUUUUAGACUGGAACAACUUACCGAAAGGUGAGCUAAUGCCGGAUGAGUUAUAUAAGUGCAUGUUUAUAUAGGAAAAGUUGGGGAGACCUGACGCUGAAAGAUGGACUCGCGUCCCAUUAGCUAGUUGGUAGGGUAAUGGCCUACCAAGGCGACGAUGGGUAGCCGGCCUGAGAGGGUGGCCGGCCACACUGGGACUGAGACACGGCCCAGACUCCUACGGGAGGCAGCAGUGGGGAAUUUUGCGCAAUGCUCGUAAGAGUGACGCAGCGACGCCGCGUGAAUGACGAAGGCCUUCGGGUCGUAAAGUUCUUUCGACAGGGAAGAAAAUGCCUAUAAGUAACUGUGUAUGUAUUGACGGUACCUG